rnacentral:rRNA from 1 species
ACCAGGAGGUUGGCUUAGAAGCAGCCAUCCUUUAAAGAAAGCGUAAUAGCUCACUGGUCAAGCGAGUCUGCGCCGAAAAUACAACGGGGCUCAAGUGUAGUGCCGAAGACACGGACUUCCGCAAGGAAGUGGUAGAGGAGCAUUCUCAAGGAGAUACAUGCUGGACGGAGACGACCAGUUCAGGCCUUGAGAAGAGCUUAUGCAGGCAUGAGUAGCGAUAAACCGGGUGAGAAACCCGGUCGCCGUAAGCCCAAGGUUUCCUGGGGAAGGAUAAUCCUCCCAAGGGUCAGUCGGUACCUAAGUCGAGGCCGAGAGGCGUAGAUGAUGGAAAGCAGGUCAACAUUCCUGCACCGCCAUGGAGAGCAUUGAAGCAAGCGGGGACGGAGAAAGGUAGCCCCUCACGGUGCAUGGUUAUCCGUGAGCAAGCCCGUAGGAUGGUUGUUAGGACCCGAUAGGGACAAACGACAACCGUAUAUCCGAGAGGUGAUGAGGUCGGCGCAAGCCGGACAACGGGGUGAUCCUCUGCUUCCAAGAAAAGCCGCGUGUGGAGCUCCUGUGGUGACCGUACUGCAAACCGACUCAGGUGGGCGGGGUGAGUAUCCCAAGGCGCGUGAGAGAACCCUGGUUAAGGAACUCUGCAAAUUGACACCGUAACUUCGGGAGAAGGUGUGCCACCGUAGCGUGAACUCGAACAGAGGAAGCGUGACGUGGUUGCAGAGAAACGGGGGUUGUGACUGUUUACUAAAAACCUAGCACUCUGCGAAGUCGAAAGACGACGUAUAGGGUGUGAUGCCUGCCCGGUGCUGGAAGGUUAAGGGGACUCGUCAGCGCAAGCGAAGCGAUGAACCGAAGCCCCAGUAAACGGCGGCCGUAACUAUAACGGUCCUAAGGUAGCGAAAUUCCUUGUCGGGUAAGUUCCGACCUGCACGAAUGGCGUAACGACUUCCCCACUGUCUCCAGGACAUGCUCAGCGAAAUUGAAUUCUCCGUGAAGAUGCGGAGUACCCGCGGUUAGACGGAAAGACCCCGUGCACCUUUACUGCAGCUUCAGAGUGGCAUUAGGAAAGAACUGUGUAGAAUAGGUGGGAGGCUUUGAAGCGAUGGCGCCAGCUGUCGUGGAGCCGCAAUGUGAAAUACCACCCUGUUGUUUUCUGAUGUCUAACCACGUGCCGUUAGCCGGCACUGGGACCCUCUGUGGCGGGUAGUUUGACUGGGGCGGUCGCCUCCUAAAGAGUAACGGAGGCGCUCAAAGGUUUCCUCAGAAUGGUUGGAAAUCAUUCGCAGAGUGUAAAGGUAUAAGGGAGCUUGACUGCGAGAGCUACAACUCGAGCAGGGACGAAAGUCGGGCUUAGUGAUCCGGUGGUUCCGUAUGGAAGGGCCAUCGCUCAACGGAUAAAAGGUACUCUAGGGAUAACAGGCUGAUCUCCCCCAAGAGUCCACAUCGACGGGGAGGUUUGGCACCUCGAUGUCGGCUCAUCACAUCCUGGGGCUGGAGCAGGUCCCAAGGGUUCGGCUGUUCGCCGAUUAAAGCGGUACGCGAGCUGGGUUUAAAACGUCGUGAGACAGUUUGGUCCCUAUCUGCCAUGGGCGUAGGACACUUGAGUGGGGCUAUCCAUAGUACGAGAGGACCUGGAUGGACGAACCCCUGGUGAUCCGGUUGUCGUGCCAGCGGCACAGCCGGGUAGCCACGUUCGGAACGGAUAACCGCUGAAAGCAUCUAAGCGGGAAGCCUGCCACAAGACAAGGUGUCCCGGACGCAAGUCCCUCAAGACCCCUUGAAGACUACAAGGUUGAUAGGCCGGGUGUGGAAGCACAGCAAUGUGUGGAGCUAACUGGUACUAAUCGGUCGUGCGGCUUGACCGU